UGGAUAAAUUAGACACCCUCAAAUACUAAUAGGCAGGUCUGCUCUAAGAAUAGUAGAAGGUAGAAGAAAUUAAUGGUUACGAGAGGGGGAAGUUCUAGGGGUAGCUAAGUAUGGUUUAUGUACAUCUUUGUUGAAACAGUAUUCCUCAAUAUUUUUUAUAUCAUGGGAAACAGAAACUAUGGUUUGUGAGAUUUGAAGAAAUACAUAGAAGCGGAUCUUAGGCAUAUGAAUGGGAUAUGCCUAUAUCAAAGAACAAUAAUGUUCUUUGCUAGACCUCUGUGUUAGAGAAUCAGAUACAUGAACAAAAAUAUUAGGAAAUCAAAAAAAGUAGAUAGGGAAAUGAUUUCAGAGGGUUUCAAUGGUGAUAAUGAUGUCAACAAAAAUAGCGUCGACUAUUUUUCCCUGAGGAGCCCAA
rnacentral:lncRNA from 1 species